rnacentral:tRNA from 1 species
GCAGCAGUGGUUCAGUGGUAGAAUCCUCGCCUUCCAUGUGAAAAGCCCCGGUUCGAUUCCUGGCCAAUGCA